rnacentral:rRNA from 1 species
GAUGAGACUAUAUAGUAUCAGCUAGUUGGUAAGGUAAUGGCUUACCAAGGCUAUGACGCUUAACUGGUCUGAGAGGAUGAUCAGUCACACUGGAACUGAGACACGGUCCAGACUCCUACGGGAGGCAGCAGUAGGGAAUAUUGCGCAAUGGGGGAAACCCUGACGCAGCAACGCCGCGUGGAGGAUGACACUUUUCGGAGCGUAAACUCCUUUUCUUAGGGAAGAAUUCUGACGGUACCUAAGGAAUAAGCACCGGCUAACUCCGUGCCAGCAGCCGCGGUAAUACGGAGGGUGCAAGCGUUACUCGGAAUCACUGGGCGUAAAGGGCGCGUAGGCGGAUUAUCAAGUCUCUUGUGAAAUCUAAUGGCUUAACCAUUAAACUGCUUGGGAAACUGAUAGUCUAGAGUGAGGGAGAGGCAGAUGGAAUUGGUGGUGUAGGGGUAAAAUCCGUAGAUAUCACCAAGAAUACCCAUUGCGAAGGCGAUCUGCUGGAACUCAACUGACGCUAAGGCGCGAAAGCGUGGGGAGCAAACAGGAUUAGAUACCCUGGUAGUCCACGCCCUAAACGAUGUACACUAGUUGUUGGGGUGCUAGUCAUCUCAGUAAUGCAGCUAACGCAUUAAGUGUACCGCCUGGGGAGUACGGUCGCAAGAUUAAAACUCAAAGGAAUAGACGGGGACCCGCACAAGCGGUGGAGCAUGUGGUUUAAUUCGAAGAUACGCGAAGAACCUUACCUGGGCUUGAUAUCCUAAGAACCUUUUAGAGAUAAGAGGGUGCUAGCUUGCUAGAACUUAGAGACAGGUGCUGCACGGCUGUCGUCAGCUCGUGUCGUGAGAUGUUGGGUUAAGUCCCGCAACGAGCGCAACCCACGUAUUUAGUUGCUAACGGUUCGGCCGAGCACUCUAAAUAGACUGCCUUCGUAAGGAGGAGGAAGGUGUGGACGACGUCAAGUCAUCAUGGCCCUUAUGCCCAGGGCGACACACGUGCUACAAUGGCAUAUACAAUGAGACGCAAUACCGCGAGGUGGAGCAAAUCUAUAAAAUAUGUCCCAGUUCGGAUUGUUCUCUGCAACUCGAGAGCAUGAAGCCGGAAUCGCUAGUAAUCGUAGAUCAGCCAUGCUACGGUGAAUACGUUCCCGGGUCUUGUACUCACCGCCCGUCACACCAUGGGAGUUGAUUUCACUCGAAGCCGGAAUACUAAACUAGUUACCGUCCACAGUGGAAUCAGCGACUGGGGUGAAGUCGUAACAAGGUAACCGUAGGAGAACCUGCGGUUGGAUCACCUCCUUUCUA